UUUUAUUUGAGAGUUUGAUCCUGGCUCAGGAUGAACGCUGGCGGCGUGCCUAACACAUGCAAGUUGAGCGAUUUACUUCGGUAAAGAGCGGCGGACGGGUGAGUAACGCGUGGGUAACCUACCCUGUACACACGGAUAACAUACCGAAAGGUAUGCUAAUACGGGAUAAUAUAUUUGAGAGGCAUCUCUUAAAUAUCAAAGGUGAGCCAGUACAGGAUGGACCCGCGUCUGAUUAGCUAGUUGGUAAGGUAACGGCUUACCAAGGCGACGAUCAGUAGCCGACCUGAGAGGGUGAUCGGCCACAUUGGAACUGAGACACGGUCCAAACUCCUACGGGAGGCAGCAGUGGGGAAUAUUGCACAAUGGGC
rnacentral:rRNA from 1 species